GCCACGCCAGGCCACCGAUAUCACUGGCGUUUCCCGAGGUUUCGAGAUUGAACGGAAAAUUGAAUAAAAGAUGCUGCAUGCAAAGCAGGCAGAGAAGCAAGCGGAAGCCGCUGCUUAUUACACACGAGGCACGUAAUUAAGUACCGAGUCAUUAACAACAUAAAACACAAAUUAAAAUAAACAAAAGUCAUUAACAACAUAAAACACAAAUUAAAAUAAACAAAGUCAUUAACAACAUAAACACAAAAUCAAAACUACAUAAACAGCAUUAAACACAAUAACUCAAAACACAGACCCACACGAACACACAGCACGGCCACAACUCAAUUCGUUUAUUAUUAUUUUUCCUAACACAAGAACUGAUUGCUGUUCAGCUGCUGAGUCGCCGCCACGUCAUCAAGCAUCCAAA
rnacentral:lncRNA from 1 species